rnacentral:tRNA from 1 species
GCCGAUGUAGCUCAGCUGGUAGAGCAACUCCAUGGUAAGGAGUAGGUCGUCGGUUCAAGUCCGACCAUCGGCUCCC